rnacentral:rRNA from 1 species
AUUGAACGCUGGCGGCAUGCUUUACACAUGCAAGUCGAACGGCAGCGCGGGCUUCGGCCUGGCGGCGAGUGGCGAACGGGUGAGUAAUGCAUCGGAACGUGCCCAGUAGUGGGGGAUAGCCCGGCGAAAGCCGGAUUAAUACCGCAUACGACCUGAGGGUGAAAGCGGGGGACCGAAAGGCCUCGCGCUACUGGAGCGGCCGAUGUCGGAUUAGCUAGUUGGUGGGGUAAAGGCUUACCAAGGCGACGAUCCGUAGCUGGUCUGAGAGGACGACCAGCCACACUGGGACUGAGACACGGCCCAGACUCCUACGGGAGGCAGCAGUGGGGAAUUUUGGACAAUGGGGGCAACCCUGAUCCAGCCAUGCCGCGUGCGGGAAGAAGGCCUUCGGGUUGUAAAACGCUUUUGUUCGGGAAGAAAUCCUCUGGGCUAAUACCCCGGGGGGAUGACGGUACCGGAAGAAUAAGCACCGGCUAACUACGUG